GAGUUUGAUCUUGGCUCAGAAUGAACGCUGGCGGCAUGCCUAACACAUGCAAGUCGAACGAAGGCUUCGGCCUUAGUGGCGCACGGGUGCGUAACGCGUGGGAAUCUGCCCUUGGGUUCGGAAUAACAGUUAGAAAUGACUGCUAAUACCGGAUGAUGUCGUAAGACCAAAGAUUUAUCGCCCAAGGAUGAGCCCGCGUAGGAUUAGCUAGUUGGUGGGGUAAAGGCCCACCAAGGCGACGAUCCUUAGCUGGUCUGAGAGGAUGAUCAGCCACACUGGGACUGAGACACGGCCCAGACUCCUACGGGAGGCAGCAGUGGGGAAUAUUGGACAAUGGGCGAAAGCCUGAUCCAGCAAUGCCGCGUGAGUGAUGAAGGCCUUAGGGUUGUAAAGCUCUUUUACCCGGGAUGAUAAUGACAGUACCGGGAGAAUAAGCUCCGGCUAACUUCGUGCCAGCAGCCGCAGU
rnacentral:rRNA from 1 species